AGUGAACGCUGGCGGUAGGCCUAACUCAUGCAAGUCGAACGGCAGCACAGUAAGAGCUUGCUCUUACGGGUGGCGAGUGGCGGACGGGUGAGGAAUACAUCGGAAUCUACUUUUUCGUGGGGGAUAACGUAGGGAAACUUACGCUAAUACCGCAUACGCCCUACGGGUGAAAGCAGGGGAUCUUCGCACCUUGCGCGAUUGAAUGAGCCGAUGUCGGAUUAGCUAGUUGGCGGGGUAAAGGCCCACCAAGGCGACGAUCCGUAGCUGGUCUGAGAGGAUGAUCAGCCACACUGGAACUGAGACACGGUCCAGACGCCUACGGGAGGCAGCAGUGGGGAAUAUUGGACAAUGGGCGCAAGCCUGAUCCAGCCAUACCGCGUGGGUGAAGAAGGCCUUCGGGUUGUAAAGCCCUUUUGUUGGGAAAGAAAAGCAGCAGGUUAAUACCCCGCUGUUCUGACGGUACCCAAAGAAUAAGCACCGGCUAACUUCGUG
rnacentral:rRNA from 1 species